rnacentral:rRNA from 1 species
AUUGAACGCUGGCGGCAUGCUUUACACAUGCAAGUCGAACGGUAACAGGCCGCAAGGUGCUGACGAGUGGCGAACGGGUGAGUAAUGCAUCGGAACGUGCCCAGUCGUGGGGGAUAACUGCUCGAAAGAGCAGCUAAUACCGCAUACGAUCUAUGGAUGAAAGCGGGGGACCGUAAGGCCUCGCGCGAUUGGAGCGGCCGAUGUCAGAUUAGGUAGUUGGUGGGGUAAAGGCUCACCAAGCCAACGAUCUGUAGCUGGUCUGAGAGGACGACCGGCCACACUGGGACUGAGACACGGCCCAGACUCCUACGGGAGGAAGCAGUGGGGAAUUUUGGACAAUGGGGGCAACCCUGAUCCAGCAAUGCCGCGUGCAGGAAGAAGGCCUUCGGGUUGUAAACUGCUUUUGUACGGAACGAAACGGUCUGGGUUAAUACCCUGGGCUAAUGACGGUACCGUAAGAAUAAGCACCGGCUAACUACGUGCCAGCAGCCGCCGUAAUAC